rnacentral:rRNA from 1 species
UACGGGGGGGGCAAGCGUUGUUCGGAAUUACUGGGCGUAAAGGGCUCGUAGGCGGCCAACUAAGUCGGACGUGAAAUCCCUCGGCUUAACCGGGGGACUGCGUCCGAUACUGGAUGGCUUGAGUUCGGGAGAGGGAUGCGGAAUUCCAGGUGUAGCGGUGAAAUGCGUAGAUAUCUGGAGGAACACCGGUGGCGAAGGCGGCAUCCUGGACCGACACUGACGCUGAGGAGCGAAAGCCAGGGGAGCAAACGGG